GUGGUCAACCUUCUCCUUCCGUUUCAAGCUUAUUCUGAGCCACGCCUUUUCUAGGACUUGCACUUGUUUUGAGCGGACACAUCGCAGCCGCCCGGACAGUUAUUUUGGAACGUCCAGCCUACAGCCGAUAACGAAAUAGCAAGCACCGCCCGACCGGAUUUGCAAUGUCUAAUCAACCUUUAAGAGACACUUACCCAGCCCUUUUGCGUUAUUUGAAACGUAAUUACAUAUGUAAAGCGCGUUAUUCUCACAUUUCUGAUCUCCCUUAGUACACGCUGUUCCAUCGAUACUUGUAGCUGAUGCCGGGGUGGCUUGCUGGGCGGUCUUAGGAGUAGUGCCUACAGUCAAAGCAACUGCAGAAGCACUCGUUACCAAUUGAGCACUACUCUCGGCAACGCGUGGGGCGUGGCUACCACAGGAGCGUCAUGGUGGUACGACGGUGUUAGUGGGGUCGGCACCAUUGUAGCCCUCCCCAGUAUACAGAGUGCUCGCUGGCGUAGGUGAAUAAGAGUCAUUUCCAGGAGCGGGGGCCCACAUCUGGUUAUCAGUAAUCUCAAUGGGGGGACCGGUAGGGUUGUUUCCACUGUUUGCCAUAUAGCCACCAUUGGACAUCAUCUUGAGGGAUCGGGAGACAAACCGCGCAAGCCAAUAAUUGGAGCUAUCUCCACUGCGACACAGACGUCCCAAAGGACAAGGGGCUCGUUGUAUAUGAGUUCCGAGCCAUCAGAUAAAAAUAUUUUGACUCUACUUGGUCAUAAAUAAUAGUUCCCCAGGAGCUUCAAUCGACCAACUUUUUACCACAUCAAGCGCUUAGAUCACCGUUUACCAUAGUUGCGUUGAGGGCUACCGAAUAAUCAAUCAGUGGAUAUCGACAUGCUUCUAUUGAAUGUUCCAGCUAAUCACCAACAAUCCGAUUUGUAGCAAGAUCUGUGUAGGUAGGACCUUUCGCUUCACAAUGAGGAACUGCAGAGGGAGGGUACCAGCAUCUGAACCACGGCCAGCACAGCGGUUUCCAGUAGUCUCAUAACCAUAAUCGUAAUAACUAAAAAUAAGCGAUAAAUAACGAAUCUUUCUGGAAUCGAAUGAAGGUCAAAAACUCACCAAGUACCUGUAGCAUCAUUUAUACUGUGAAGUAUAUUGUACGCGCCGGUGAGAGAAGCAAGGAGAAGAGCAAAGACUGAGCUUGUGAAGCGCGUUAGUGCUAUAAUGGCAACCAAAACAGUAGCAAGAUGGCUUCCAAUGAGCAUACACUAUGGUAUAAAGCUUACCAAGAUACAACCUCACUGUUUUCUUAUGUAUGUGAUCAGCUUCUCAAUUGAACUCAACUCACCCUUGCGUUUUGGAUUUUUUGCUAUCUGCCCCCCCUUUUGAGUAUGGUUGUAUUCAUAUGCCCUUUAUUUAUAACCCUUGCGAUGAAAGGGCUAUAUACAAAGAUAGACAAUUGAUUCUCAGGAAGUCAUAUUCAGCUUGGCACCCCAGACACUCAUAUGCGCAUGGUUUACAGGCCAGUACCGAGGAAAGAUACUCGCAGAGUAGAGUUGGCGAGAAUUUGUGCAUUUCGAAGUUCAUUUGUUAUGUGUAAUAUAUAGUAUUUCCGUCAAAUGCUACUGUCAACUGCAGAUGAUAGUAGCAUCACAAACUAAACAUCGACUAGGA
rnacentral:sRNA from 1 species